AGAGCCAUCAUAUCUCCACAUGUAAAUGGGUGAAUUAAGGGUUUAUUUCAACCAAACUGGAGUGGUGAUAGUUGGAACAGUGAAAAGACAAAGCAACACAGCUUUUG